UUGGAGGGCAAGUCUGGUGCCAGCAGCCGCGGUAAUUCCAGCUCCAAUAGCGUAUAUUAAAGUUGUUGCAGUUAAAAAGCUCGUAGUUGAAUUUCGGAAUCCAUCCGUCGGUCGGGCCUCACGGUCCGCACUGGUGUGAUGGAUUCCUACCUUCUGAAUAACCAGCAUGUCAUUAAUUUGGUGCGUUGGGGAAGCAGGACUGUUACCUUGAAAAAAUUAGAGUGCUUAAAGCAGGCUAGUGCCUGAAUACAUUAGCAUGGAAUAAUGAAAUAGGACGGCAUGGUUCUAUUUUGUUGGUUUCUAGGAUCACCGUAAUGAUUAAUAGGGAUAGUUGGGGGCAUUAGUAUUCAAUUGUCAGAGGUGAAAUUCUUGGAUUUAUUGAAGACUAACUUCUGCGAAAGCAUUUGCCAAGGAUGUUUUCAUUAAUCAAGAACGAAAGUUAGGGGAUCGAAGACGAUCAGAUACCGUCGUAGUCUUAACCAUAAACUAUGCCGACUAGGGAUCGGACGAUGUUAAUUUUUUAAUGACUCGUUCGGCGCCUUACGGGAAACCAAAGUGUUUGGGUUC
rnacentral:rRNA from 1 species